rnacentral:rRNA from 1 species
GGGCCCGCACAAGCGGUGGAGUAUGUGGUUUAAUUCGAUGCAACGCGAAGAACCUUACCAGGGUUUGACAUCCUGCGAAUUUCUGGGAAACCGGAAAGUGCCUUCGGGAGCGCAGUGACAGGUGGUGCAUGGCUGUCGUCAGCUCGUGUCGUGAGAUGUUGGGUUAAGUCCCGCAACGAGCGCAACCCACGUCUUUAGUUGCCAGCAUUUAGUUGGGCACUCUAGAGAGACCGCCGGUGAUAAACCGGAGGAAGGUGUGGAUGACGUCAAGUCCUCAUGGCCCUUACGGGUUGGGCUACACACGUGCUACAAUGGUAGUGACAAUGGGUUAAUCCCAAAAGCUAUCUCAGUUCGGAUUGUCGUCUGCAACUCGACGGCAUG